GCGCCAUUUUGAUCGCGAAGUGAAACAUUAAAUGGAAUUGACGAGGUUUCUGUCUGGUAAGACGCUUUUAUAGUGCCAUUUCCUGGCCUUGCCACUGUUCUGCUAUGGUUACAUUUCCGAGUGAAGACUGUAAUAGUUUUGCUGCCAAUCAACUUGGAACACCAAUUGCAUAGCAGAGAUGGCCGACGAUCGAACAGAGGAUCCUACGUUGCUAACUAAGUUGGAAGGGGUAACGAUAUUCGACAAGCCAUCGAGUGAAGUGAUUGGUCCAUCAAAGGUAUGUGUGUAAAUAUGCCUUCAAGCAUGCAUUCUUUGCUAUCAAGAAAAAAAAAGAGAGAUGUGGGUAGGACGAAUCCCUAUAAGAGUUAAAAUGCCAGCUUGUUAAUGGAAUCUCAAUGAUGAUAAAGCAGGUGUAUCUUGAUUGGCAAAUAGUGCAUGAUUAUGAACCCAAAAUACAGAUCCAUUUACUCAUUAUAUUAUAAUAUUACAUGAAGAGUCAAUCUCUUCCAAAUACAUUUGCUCCUUCAUUUUGUGUCUUCUCUCUUUUCAUUAUAACUUUGGAAACUCUUAGAAAUGUCGCACCACCCGCUUAUAGCUUCGCAUGUGUAUAAACUAAAUAAAAAAGGACUGCUUUGCGCAGUAUUAAAACAAAUUUUCCGCAUUAUACGCAUACGGAAAACGGUUCCAUAACAUUUGCUCCGGCGACGAUUGCUACUCUCUAAAUUCCGCACACUAAUCGAAUAUUGCAACCCUCACCCUAAGCAUGCAUCUUAGACGAAAUUAAGCCUGGAUCCCCUGGAUCAGUUGUCGCAAGAGCAAAUGUCGUGUCACCACGGAAAACACACCUGCCCUGUUGCGUAUUUUCCAAGCACUUACUAAUCCUUACAUAAAUAGAUUAUUUAGUCCGACUACACCUCAUGAAUAUUCAUGGGACAGAAUAUAGCGUUAUUUCCAACGCAUCGAUCCGCUCAACGAGUGUGGCGCGAUCGGUAACACGAUGUGCUAAUGUGAGUUUACUAUACUUUAGGCUUGAGCAUGUUGAGUGAGGGAUCCUAUCCGACGUAAGAUUUCGGGCUCAGUCAUAUCUGAAUAAACGAGCACCAAAUAUGGAACUUGAUGACAGAAUGGACAAAUGCCAACUGACUUACAAGAAGUGAAUGAUCAUCAUUAUUAUUGUGGCAAUUUAAGAAUGUGUAAUAUAUAGUCAAUGAAGCUAGAGAAAAAUAUUUUAAUAAGAAUAGGUAAAAAAAUAAGAGCAAAGGUUCUCUUUCGUCAGCCGAGGAUGAUCUCUGUGAAGCCAGCAAAUAAUACUUAUUGACACGAAAAAGAGAUUAUAUGGCAAUAGGAACAUUGAUCAUGAUCAAUUAUCUGUGACCUCACACAAUGAUAUAAAGAUUGAACUUGCUUUUGAUGGUAAGCAUUUAUUGUUUAGAUGAUCCAUUCUCUGAAGAUGAAGUUGUGUCUGUGAUAAAGAAAUUAAAAAAAUGGCAAAGCUUGUUGCUGGUCCAGAUAACUAAAGGGGUAUUACUUUAUUAAGUUGUUUGGGAACAUUAUUUACUUCAAUAUUAAAUCCAAGUUUAACUGAAUUUUUAAUUCAAAUUGUUAGAUUGGGAAGGAGCAAGCAGGUGUACGUGCAAGCUACUCCACAACUGACCAUUCGUAAUGAAGUGCAUAAUGUGGCUGUAGUGAGGUCGACAAACAAAAGACAAGCGUAACAAAGGCCUCUACAGGAUUUCGUUGUUUUAAUAUGUCAAUCCGAUAUCAAAUGCGUACAAUCAAUCCAAUCGAAUUGGUCUUAAAUCUAUUAGUGCCUUUAAUCCGUUGAUUGUUUAAUCCAAUUCGUCCUUUUAAUCCAGUUUGAACCAAUUAGUACGUUUAAUCCGUUGAUUAUUUAAUCCGUGAAAACUGUGGAGUCAAUGAUAAAGAAAAAGAAUCAUAAAUAACAGCAAAAUGAAACAUCUUAAAUGCCAAUAGAGCAACAUCAAUUCUUUGGAAAACCUGAAUAGCCUUGUCUCAACUAGAUUCCAAAUUCUAUAUACAUAUACGCUUACUCAUUAUAGGUUUGCUUGUUUCAAACUACAAACAGAAUUCAGUUUUGUUCUCAUUACAAUUAUAUGAAUACAAGUAUAAAUCAACAAUCAUUCUUAAUAUAUCACAUAAUAAAUGUAGCAAAGUCUAGUUUCAUGUAAUAGUUAAUCAGUCUUAUUUGAUUACAAGGGGAUGCAAUGAGCCUGGUAUAGCUUGUACAUACAUUAUACAUACUACAUACACAUUAUCAUUUGUCAUUAUGAACCAAGAAAAAGAUCUCUAAAAUUUCACUUUUUGCUUAGACCAUAAUAAAAAAUACAUAACAUAAAACAUUAAAGGGGAAUCCAACUCAAAUUAAAACUUGUUUUUAUAAGG